ACAUAUGUUCGUGCUUCUGUUUCCCAGGAAAAUCAAGUGUCAUUCAUCAAUAGAAAAGGUGUGCCGACACAGAAUGUAAUGGCCGCAUGUAGUUUUGAUAUGCAAUUCACUUUUGUUUGGGCAGGAUGGAAAGGUAGCGCUCAUGAUACUCGUAUUUUUCUAGAGGCUAUUGACAAUCCAAAUAUCAAAUUUCCAAAACCUCCUGAAGGAAAAUAUUAUUAGUUGAUGCUGGGUAUCCAAAUAAGUAUAGAUAUCUUAGUCCAUAUAAAGGUGAGAGAUAUCACUUCCAAGAGUUUCGGCGUCGAGGGCAAACAACCAGCUAGGAAGAGCGAUUCAAUCGUGAACACUCGUCACUUCGCAAUGUCAUUGAACAUGCAUUUGGAGUGUGGAAACAAAGGUGGAGAAUUUUACAGAACACGUCGGCAUAUCCAUACAAAUUACAAGUGCAGAUUGUAGUGGCAUCAAUGACACUACAUAACUAUAUUAGGAGGAAGUCACAAGAAGAUUUUGCAUUUACUGAAUAUGAUCGCAAUCCUAAUUUUAUUC